UUUUUUUGGAUUAAAGGAAGCUAAAAUUUUAACCAAUCGUUCUAAAACAACGAAUUUGAGUGGCUAAAUCUAAUCAAAUCGAUGGCUUCAACCCAACUGAAGUGAAACCAGAGAGAAUGCAAGUAAUCAUGUCUUCUUCACUUCACUCACUUCCUUGGUCAGCACAAACCCUUGUCUCCAACUUCAAUUCUCCGUUAGAGCUGAAACAAGCUCAUGCCCAUCUCAUCAAAACCAACACUCCACUCUCUCUCAUCCCUCCCUCUCGAAUCGCUUCCGUUUGUGCUUUGUCUCACCUCGAUUUCUCUUACGCCCACCGACUUCUCGCCCAUUUCCAUCAACGCCAAAUCGUCGUAUGGAACUCUUGCUUGAAAACUUUAGCUGAAAGUGACUCCCCUUUUGAUGCCAUCCUUUUGUUUCGUCGUCUACGUGAAUUCGAUGUUGUUCCCGAUAGUUUCACCUGCGCUUUCGUUCUCAAAGCUUGCACCGCUUUGUUGGAUGAUAAAAAUGGUAAGAUUAUUCAUGGGGUUGUUAAGAAAUUUGGGUUUCAGUGGAACAUGGUUUUGCAGAAUAUGAUUUUGAAUUUAUAUGGAUUGUGCGGAGAAAUGAGUACGGCUCGGUUGGUGUUCGAUAAAAUGCCCCAACGAGAUGUUGUCAGUUGGAACGUUAUGAUUACCCAUUUGGUGAAAAGUGGAGAUUUCGAGGGUGCUUAUGGGUUCUUUUCGCGUAUGCCUGAGAGAAAUGUGAGGUCGUGGACUAUGAUGAUUUCUGCGUGUGUUCACUGUGGGAAGCCCAAGGAAGGGGUUCAAUUGUUUUUGGAGAUGGAGAAGAUUGGGGUGCAGGUUAAUGAAGUCACUGUAGUGGCUGUUCUUUCAGCUUGUGCUGAUUUGGGUGCACUUGAGUUGGGGAUGAGAAUCCAUGAAUACUCCAAAAGAAGUGGAUUUGGAGGGAAUGUAAGAGUUUUGAAUACUUUGAUUGAUAUGUAUGUGAAAUGUGGUUGCUUGGAGGAAGCUAGGAGGGUUUUCGAGGAGAUGGAGAAACGAACGAUCGUGUCGUGGUCAGCUAUGAUACAAGGGCUUGCAAUCCAUGGACAUGCUCAGGAAGCUUUAAGGGUUUUCUCAAUGAUGAUUGAGAUGGGGGUGAUGCCUAAUGGGGUAACCUUUAUUGGACUCUUGCAUGCGUGUAGUCACAUGGGGUUGGUUGACGAAGGUCGUCGGUUCUUUUCCUGCAUGACAAGAGACUACGGAAUUAUUCCUGAGAUCGAGCAUUAUGGUUGCAUGGUUGAUCUUUAUAGCCGAGCAGGGCUCCUUCAAGAAGCCCAUGAGUUCAUAAUGAACAUGCCUAAAAAACCAAAUGGAGUUGUAUGGGGAGCUCUCCUUGGUGGAUGCAAGGUUCAUAAAAACAUUGAACUAGCUGAGGAAGCUACUAGACAUCUUGCUGAACUCGAUCCUCUUAACGAUGGAUACUACAUUGUUUUAUCUAAUAUCUAUGCUGAAGCCGAAAGAUGGGAGGAUGCAUCAAGAGUACGGAAGCUAAUGAAAAACCGAGGUGUGAAGAAGAAACCAGGGUGUAGCUCUAUCAUGGUCGAUGGGGUCAUUCAUGAAUUUGUUGCUGGGGAUGAUUCGCAUUCUCAAGCUAAUGAAAUAUCUGAUAUGUGGGAAAAACUUCUGGAUUACAUGAAGUUAAAAGGAUAUAAACCGGACACAUCGGUUGUCCUAUUAGACGUAGAAGAGAAAGAGAAGGAGAAGUUUCUAUAUGGCCAUAGCGAGAAAUUGGCACUCUGUUUUGGACUGAUAAACACGCCUCCUGGCUCGGUGAUUAGGAUAAUGAAGAACCUCCGUGUUUGUGAAGACUGCCAUGCAGCUUUCAAAUUGAUAUCAGCAAUUGUUAAUAGGGAAAUUGUUGUUCGUGACCGGAACCGGUUCCAUUGUUUCAAAGAUGGUGCUUGCUCUUGCCAGGAUUUCUGGGCCAGGAUGCUCUUCCGUUGGAGAUGGCUUUGCAAGUGUUGGUCCUUUCAUUGUUACGAAAGAUGUUCAUGGUCUCCAGAAAAAUUUAUUUUCUUGGAACAAAGUGUCAAAUCUGUUGUUCAUCGACUCCCCUAUUGGAUCUGGAUGGUCAUAUUCAAACACAAGUAGCGAUUAUGAUAACGGAGAUGAUGCCACAAAUACAAUAUUACUUACAUUCAUGCAAAAAUGGUAUGAAAAAUAUCCAGUCUUCAAGUCAAAAACUCUAUAUUUAGCUGGAUCAAGUUAUGCAGGACACUUCGUACCAAAUCUUGCUAAUGCUUUACUUGA